UAGGGAAUCUUCGGCAAUGGACGAAAGUCUGACCGAGCAACGCCGCGUGAGUGAAGAAGGUUUUCGGAUCGUAAAACUCUGUUGUUAGAGAAGAACAAGGACGUUAGUAACUGAACGUCCCCUGACGGUAUCUCACCAGAAAGCCACGGCUAACUACGUGCCAGCAGCCGCGGUAAUACGUAGGUGGCAAGCGUUGUCCGGAUUUAUUGGGCGUAAAGCGAGCGCAGGCGGUUUCUUAAGUCUGAUGUGAAAGCCCCCGGCUCAACCGGGGAGGGUCAUUGGAAACUGGCGGCAUUGAGUGCAGAAGAGGGGGGUGGAAUUCCAUGUGUAGCGGUGAAAUGCGUAGAUAUAUGGAGGAACACCAGUGGCGAAGGCGGCGCUCUGGUCUGUAAAUGACGCUGAGGCUCGAAAGCGUGGGGAGCAAACAGG
rnacentral:rRNA from 1 species